CUUUAAUUCUGCACCUUCAUUUCUAGGUGGCUGAGGAGGCUCCCUGAACUACCUCACCUCCAUCUCCAGCUCCAGCUCCACCCAGCCAGCCCUUUUCACCUCUCGGAACACCUGCUUUUCAGUCCAAAAGCAAUGGAACCAGCGAUCAUGGACUAAGAAAGACCUCUGAAGUCUGGGAGCCCAAAUAAGACUUUCUGUCUUAUAAGUUGAUUCUUUCUAGUAUUUUGUCGCAGUAAUGGAAAGCUGACUAACAGAGAUAAUGUCACCUUUGGAAGGCCCUACAGAACCUGAUUUUCCCCUUCUGCAUUGGAGAAGCAACACGUAUAACAAUCCACAGGAGAGUCGAGGGGCUUUAGUAAAGUUGGAUUACGCUGGCCUGUCACCUUGUUUGGAUUAGACCCAGAAAGAGGAGAGGAAAUCCAGACCCUGUUGAAAGUGACAAGAGAAUUCCAUAGUCGAUGAUGUUUACGUCGAGCCAGUUUCUGAUUAUAAAGAAAAUGAGGACUUCUAAUACAACCCGGUAGAAAUAAUUAGCUGGAGGGUGGAGCCUUGGUUUUGAAGGAUUCCUUUGCACUGCAAAUGUCUUUCCCCCAGGCAUUUUGACCAGGCAUCCCUUGGACCAUCUGUGGAAUGAUCUCAUGACCCCGGAACGCAUUCUCGCACAGCACAGACAGACUUCACCUAGGCCACCUACACUGCCCGGAGUCGGCAAGGGGACCUUCUCCCAGAAGCUACUUCGGGGUGGGCCUGUAGGUGGCCAGGAGGGUCAGGCCUCAGGACAGAGCAGAGGCUCAGCAGAGCGGAAGCGUGCUGUGGCUGACGCCAUUGUCACCUUCCCAAACUUGUUUGGGAAAGGCAUCACGUUGCAGAGGUGCUGCGAACAGAGGUGACACAGUCCCAGCUGCGGAAACACCAUCCGAUGAACACAAGGCUUUUUUGUUUCUGUUCUUUUACGGAGGUCUAGGGACUCAGUGAACUUUCUAACACCGGAUGCAAAAAUGUCUUUUUGUGCAUUUUAUUCUGGGGGAAAAAAAACACAUUUCCUCAAAUAUGUCAGGUCCAUGACUCCCCAGCAUCCAGAAACUUCUGUUACUAACUGGCUCCCGGGAGACCUCUCCUCAGCAACCGACUAAACCACGUUCCCACCAAGGUGACCUUGGGCAGGAGACACCCCCACAGCCCUCUGGCCUGUUGGAUGCAGCCUCGUUGGGGCUAGUGUGGCCACCCUCCCCACCUCUCUGCCCUCCCCUUGUUCUUUCCCCUUUUC